rnacentral:tRNA from 1 species
GCCUCCAUAGCUUAGUAGGUAGAGCGUGCGACUGUUAAUCGCAAGGUCGGCAGAAACGAUAUAAAAGUCGUUGUCGAAUUCAAGUCUGCCUGGAGGCG